rnacentral:lncRNA from 1 species
CCACCGGGGCCACCCCCACCUUCUCUCGAAUAACUUCAUUCUUAAUCUUAUCUAGCCUGGUGUGUCCGCACAUCCACCUAAGCAUCCUCAUCUCCGCCACCUUCAUUCUUUGAACAUGCAAGUUCUUCACGGGCCAGCACACCCCCCAUACAACAUCGAAGGUCUAACCACGGCUCUAUAGAAUUUCCCCUUGAGUUUGUGUGGAACUUUCUUGUCACACAGGACUCCUGAUGCAAGCCUCACUUUGACCACCCCGCUCCUAUACGAUGAGUGACGUCCCCGUCAAUCUCUCUGUCCACCUGAAUCA